AUAUGCAAGAGCAACAUUAAUUUAUAAUAUAUUAUUAUUUUGAAAAUCUUAUGUUGCAAUGAUAAUCAUUUUUUCUAAAUGAUUUAUUGAUACAUGUAUAAACUUAUGCUUGAUUUGGAUAAGAUAGUAUAAUGUUUACUUAUUAAGCUGGUGUAACUCAUAUCUUUUUCUUUUUUUUUUCUGUCCAGAUAAAUAAGAUUAGGAAGCAAGGAUGAUCUAGACUGGAGGGUCUACAUCGG
rnacentral:lncRNA from 1 species